ACCAAGGACAUUAUUUCCCAGGUUAUCCAUGACUGUGAGACCUGCGCUACCAUUAAACAGGCUAAGAGACUGAAGCCCCUAUGGUAUGGUGGACGUUGGAGUAAGUAUAGGUAUGGGGAGGCCUGGCAAGUUGAUUACAUCACACUGUCACGAACCUGCCAAGGCAAUCGGAAGAGCAGA